rnacentral:rRNA from 1 species
GACAGAGGGGGCAAGCGUUGUCCGGAGUUACUGGGCGUAAAGAGCGCGGAGGCGGGUUGCUGCGUCGGUGCUGAAAGCGCCCCGCUUAACGGGGCGCGGGGUGCCGAAACGCGCAGGCUCGAGGCGAGCAGAGGGUGGUAGAAUUCCCGGUGGGGCGGUGAAAUGCGUAGAGAUCCGGAGGAACGCCAGCGGGGAAGCCGGCCUACUGGGCUCGUCCUGACACUGCGGCGCGACAGCGUGGGGAGCAAACCGG